rnacentral:lncRNA from 1 species
CCCGACGUCACCGCGCUCGAGAUACGUCGAUGGCAUUACUCCUCGCCUGUGUGAAAAGUUUCGAGAAUUUAUCAUAAUAUUGUCAUCAAUUUUCAUCCGGAUUCGAACGCGAGAGUAGGCGUGAGCGAGGUCCCGUCGCUAGAUUUUUUUCUUAUUUUCCACACUUAACUGCGUUCGGAUAUCGUGAUUUCCAACUCGCGUCCGAGUGCGCGCGCCUGACUUCGGGUGAGUCAGAGGGAACGCCAGUGGCCGCCGCGCACGACUUCCAGGAAAGUCUAACAACAGCCGACUGCGUCUGCCACCGAAUUCCCCUAAUCGGCUCGGAUCUCGCGAGAAAACGGGGUGGGAUCCGCGGAACUAGAAGACAAUAAGCAUCGCCUCCGAACUCGCUCCCCUGCAGCUGAAAUGAGGCCUCCCGGAUUACACAUGAAGAUCUCACGGGAAGAUUUUGAAUCCUUUGCUUCUCAGCCGAUCGACGCUUGCCCCCAAAAAGGCCCUCAGAGUCCGGACGAGCGAUAGAGAGACAAGGUCCUCUCAUGACAAAGGCCGGUGAUUCACUGGUCCAGAAAGCUCGUGGUCGGCUAGUUUUAGUUCCACAAUACCUGCGAUUGCUUCUCUUGCUUGUAAAAAAAAAAAAAA